rnacentral:lncRNA from 1 species
UUACUCCAAACAAUUGGUUCAGAAAUUGUUCAAUUUCAAUUAAAACUACGAGGAGGAGGAUUAAGUUGAUCAACAUUCGAUUACAACCUUGCAAUUGCACCACCGCACUAUCAUCAUCCACACCCAAUUGGGUAAAAGGAAAUGAGGUUUUUGAAAGGAUUUUUGUAGUUGUCAAUUUCUAUCGAUUUGUUUCCAUCCAACACCCAGAGAAGCUGAGGUCGACAAACACCUUCACUUUCUACAGGGUCGUGACAUACACGGUCGGAUAUACAUAAAUGAACAAGGAAUCAAUGCUCAGUACAGCGGGCCAUCAGAAGACGCUCUUGCAUAUGCUAGUUUGAUUUAAAAGAACCAUCAUGCUGAAGAUCUACAAAUGUUUGAAAUCGAAGUCUGACAAAUGUUAGUUUCCAACCAUCAUGCGGAAAGGUGGCGGUGCCGGAAUGACUCGCGUUCAAGAUUUAAAGUAGCCGGAAAUUAAUUUUGCCGGAAAAGUUCGCCGGAAAGUGUGGUGGUGGGGUUUUUCUCU